rnacentral:rRNA from 1 species
ACUCCUGCGGGAGGCAGCAGUGGGGAAUAUUGGACAAUGGGCGCAAGCCUGAUCCAGCCAUGCCGCGUGAGUGAUGAAGGCCCUAGGGUUGUAAAGCUCUUUCACCGGUGAAGAUAAUGACGGUAACCGGAGAAGAAGCCCCGGCUAACUUCGUGCCAGCAGCCGCGGUAAUACGAAGGGGGCUAGCGUUGUUCGGAUUUACUGGGCGUAAAGCGCACGUAGGCGGACUAUUAAGUCAGGGGUGAAAUCCCGGGGCUCAACCCCGGAACUGCCUUUGAUACUGGUAGUCUUGAGGUCGAGAGAGGGGAGUGGAAUUCCGAGUGUAGAGGUGAAAUUCGUAGAUAUUCGGAGGAACACCAGUGGCGAAGGCGGCUCACUGGCUCGAUACUGACGCUGAGGUGCGAAAGCGUGGGGAGCAAACAGGAUUAGAUACCCCUGUAGUCCCAUG